rnacentral:ncRNA from 1 species
CCUUAUCGAGAGCGGUGGAGGGAACGGCCCUGUGAAACCCGGCAACCUGCGCAAAUCCAUGCGUAAGGUGCCAAAUCCGGCGUAUGAACACGAAAGAUGAGG